UUUCCCGCCCCCUUUUUCAAGGACCACAAUCACCAAUAUAAAAAUAAUAGCAGUGUUUUCAACCCAUUGAACUUUGCUGCAACCAAGAAUAGGCCAUUGGUGACUAUACCGGCAGGGAGAAUCUACGAUGAGCCAGAAAAACGUGUUUGGAUCAAAUCUCAUGCCUUGCUCGACAACCCCAAUGACCGGUUGGUAUAGAGAUGGAUAUUGCCGCACAGACACACAAGACCAUGGCCUACACACUGUUUGUGCAACAAUGACAAGGGAGUUUUUAGAAUAUACUAAAUCUUUGGGUAAUGAUCUAUCAACACCAAAUCAAUACUUUCCAGGGCUGAAACCAGGGGACAGUUGGUGUUUAUGCUCAACAAGGUGGGAACAGGCAAGGAGGGCAGGAAAAGCCCCCAAGGUCAAGCUAGAAGCAACCAAUGAAGUUGCACUUCGAUCAGGAAUUUCAGUUGAGACUUUGCAGCUUCAUGCAGCACCAAAUGAUAACCAGGCUUCUGAUGGUGAAGAAAGAAGGAACAGUUGUAGCUCUGAUGGUGAGAUCUGUGAACGCUGAUGAGAUUACUAGCAGCCUUGUAGUGUAUUCUGUGCUAGUUCACUAGUCCAAGGAUUUUAUCAAAUUCUUAGUCAUUAAUUAAUGUUGCAGACUGUUAACGUAUAAGGAGUAAGUAAUUUUGAAGCAGCAAUUAGUUUUAUCAAA